GACGAACGCUGGCGGCGUGCUUAACACAUGCAAGUCGAACGGAAAGGCCCUGCUUUUGUGGGGUGCUCGAGUGGCGAACGGGUGAGUAACACGUGAGUAACCUGCCCUUGACUUUGGGAUAACUUCAGGAAACUGGGGCUAAUACCGGAUAGGAGCUCCUGCUGCAUGGUGGGGGGUGGAAAGUUUCGGCGGUUGGGGAGGGACUCGCGGCUUAUCAGCUUGUUGGUGGGGUAGUGGCUUACGAAGGCUUGGACGGGUAGCCGGCCUGAGAGGGUGACCGGGAAUAGUGGGGGGGAGAGACGGGGCAGAGGAUGAAGGGGGGGAGCAGUGGGGAAGCAGCAACGAGGGGUGGAAGACUGAGGCAGCGAGGCGGACGGGGGGAUGCCGGGGUUCGGGUUGUGAACUACUGGUGAGCGCGAGGAAGCCACCUGGGUGGAAGGGUGGUGACGGUAGUGGUAGAAGAAGCACCGGCUAACUACGUG
rnacentral:rRNA from 1 species